AUUCAUUAAAAAGCAAACAAAACCCCCUCUGUGCGGUGGUGUGAGCACUGGAUAGACAUUUACUUCUGGAGGUGUUUGGCACUGAUCGUCAAAACAAACACUGGUUGAAAUGUAUUCAGUGGAACAAGUGUUUCAUAGCUAAAAAAGAUUCACCCUUACUCCACGUUUCUCCUGGCCGAAGGAGGUGGUCUUCCUGUAAUCUUCAGGAAGAAGCCACUACCUAAACUGCCUUGUGAAAAUUACUGCAUCUGGAGGAUUAUUGCUCUUAUUCUCAACAAUCUGCUAUUAGCGAUACAAAAGUCAUCUUCAUUCUGUGGAAUUUUAAA